rnacentral:snoRNA from 1 species
GUUUAUGAUGAUCUUCCACAUUUCACGACGGUCAACUGCGCAUCUCUACCUGUUUAUUGAGAUGCUUUGAUGAUAUUUUGCCUGUGACAGGGCGUGGUACUGAUC